AACGCACGAGACCUGCGGACCUGCGGAAGGAUCAUUAACGAGUGUAACUUACCCUUUUUUUUAAAAGAGGGUAGUACCUCCUGUCCUUUGUAGGCCCCUUUUUAUUGGGGGGCUUUUUAAGACUUUCUGCUUCGGCGGGGUUAUUCCCGCCGGAACACCCUCAAAAAACUCUUCAAAAACUAAUUCAGUCCGAGAAUUUUUGAAAAUAAAAAAAACUUUUAACAACGGAUCUCUAGAUCG
rnacentral:misc_RNA from 1 species